CGUGUUCGGUUCAAGUCUCUUAAUCGGACUGGGAUGCGAUUCCAGAGGAGAUGUUCGAGUUUCGAGUCAACAGCGAAGUCAAGUGGUCGAAAUCGGCGUCAUGGGAGCAGCAAUGGGUAGUUGAAGGUUUGAAUUUGUUUAUUGAUCCGUUAAUUGAUGUGAUUUAGCUUUUUAGAAAUUAGGGUUUGUGAUUUUGUAAAAUUAGGGUUUGUAGAUUUGAGGAAACCGGGUUAUUCGUUUCUAGUGUGUAUAAAUAGGGUAAUUAGAAGGUUGUAUGAGUGUGUGGGAUGUUAGUAAGGCAUGAUUGUUACCAAAUUGAAACCCGAUUGUUGAAUAUGUUUUGUGGAUUUGGGGAAAAAUUGUUAUUCAUUGCUAGGGUCUUUAAUUAUGUGAAUUAGAUGCAUCCAUUGAGUGUGUGAAGGUUUGUACGGCAUGAUUGUUACAGAAUUUUAUUCCCAAUUGUUGGUAUUUGCAUUUUAUCUUUUGUUUGGUUGAUUAAUACCCUUUUGGAUCAUAAUUUGUGUCAUGAAUUUGUUUAGUUUUGUUGGUAUUGGCAUUUUAGAUAGGUUUGUCUGAGAUGUAUCUUUCUUUAUGUUUACUGAUCCGUUUUUUCUCUUCUAUUUUACAUAUACAUUGUGUCUGGUGAGAGGACUGGAUCAACUGAUAUUCUACAAAUGGCAUUCGAGAGAAGGCAGAGGAGGAGUACUCAUGUUAGUGGAGUAUUUGCUGAAGACAAAAUAGGUGCAUUUUGACGAGUCUUGUGGUGUCUUGAAUCGGCCCUACUGUGUAAAGAAGUGAGGAUCCGUCGAUGAGAAGCUACUGGAGUGUUGUUAGGGUUUUGGUGUCGACCGACACCAGUGAUGAUUGUCGAUCGACACCAAUAUUUUGUAUCGCAAGGAUAGUCGCGAGUGUCGAUAGUGUGCAAAGGAGUGAGGAUCUGUCGAUGAGAAGCGACUGGAGUGAUAGAUGCAGAUGUUUUGUGUUGCGAGUGUUGAUAGGUAAAGGAAAGGUGUGACUGUGGGAUAACAACGAGGAGAGAAGAAUGAUCUAGGGGCUCGCUGGUUGCAUUGUAACUUUUCUGUUAUUGCAUUGUUAGGUUGUUAGUCUGGAAGUUAGAAACAUGCUAGGGUACUUUUCUAUUUGUGGAUGAUGACU